ensembl:lncRNA
GGGCUUGCGUGAGAAAGGCUAUCUGAUCGAGGCAAAGUUCUCCGUUGAUGAAAUUAAUUUGCAAAGGGGCAGUUUAAUGUCAUAUAAGUAUGCAGUGCUUCAACGACAGAAGGUAAUAGAGGAAAUUGCCACAAGAUACCACCAGAUCCCUAUUGAUCACUCUGUCAAAGAAAUGCACCUUUUUGAGGCUCACAUGAGUCGCACAGGAUCAAUUAAAGACUGGCUGAGGAGCUUCAUUAAGUCUGCAGAUAAAGUCAUUUCUGAGGCUUGGGAGAAUUCUGCGCAUUUUCUACUGGACAGAUUGUUUGAGAAAUGGGACCCAUCAAGUCAGAAGAGUGUUCUGACAUUCACACAACUCUUAAACAGCUAUAAGAGGAGUUUUCACGCUGCCAGAGACCAUGUGUUUUACUUUGACAAUGUGCCUACUCCUUUUGUGAAGGUCAGUGUAAACCUUUGAUUCAGUGCAACUUACCUGGAGCUUUGAAGAACUGCUCCACAACAUCAAAUCAUGACUCUGUGUUUUAGGUGUCAGAACUGAUAGCAAACAAACUGGUGAAGAUACUGAAUGGAGAAAGAGGGGGAAGAACUUCAGAGAGCUCAGCUGAUGUCAGUCCUCUGACGACGGGCCUCUCAGUGUUCCAGGUGUGCUGUGCGUGUUGUAUUGAGCUUGGAAUUAAAGACUGGGGCAAAGUUUGUCAGCUGGUCUCCACUAGUCCUGCCCUGGGACAAUUAGAAGAAAUUCAGAAUGCCUUUCCAGCAUUACAGAACACAGUGUUGGGUCUGAUGAGCUUGUGUGCUCGGAAACUGGUCUCAGAGCUGGUGCUGCUGGUUCCUCUCCUCCACACUCUGAGGCAGCCAGGGGCAGACUCAGGCCGGCUUGGAUGGACUGUGGAGGAGUCAGACUGGACUGGGCUGCACUUUGUGGAAUUUCGUCCAUUCAGAGAGAAGAUGAGAAGACUCCCUGACAAAAGGAGGAUGAUGCUCCGUAUGGUCCAAGAUCACAUAUCACUGGUCAAGAAGAAUCCUCGGAUUUUGAUCAGCUGGCUGUCCAUGAUGGCAUUUGAGGAUAUUAUAGAGUUUGCCAAAAUGACAGAGAUUGUUCCUGAAUAUCUGAUUCAGGGCCUGAUGUACAGACUGAAAGUGUUUGAACUGUGCACUCAUAACACCGCUCCUCCCGAUUCACAGAAGAACCUGCAGAUCACUGAAGAGAUCCUGAGAUAUGUUAUGAAGUGGAAUGAGCAGGACAUAAAAAGAAUCACAGCCUCUAAAAGAUUGGAUGCUGUGUUUCAGUGUUGCAGCAAUGUUCAUAAGAGUACGUGCAGAAUAGCACGACAAGAUAUCCAAAUGUUCAAGGCUGCAGUGUUAUCUUUCCAAUUGGUGCUGAAAUUGGCUGAAAUUCAGUAUGAAGCACUUUCAAAGAGUGGAGACGAGAAAGAUCUGGAGAAAAAGCGUCUUGUCUCACAGCUUGAACAAAUGCAGAAGGAGUUCAGUCAGUGGAGGGAUGGACUGCUUCGCCGACCUCUGCUCCACCAGUCCACGCUGUCUUACCCCAGUGAAAUCGAAGUAGAAGCUUAA